rnacentral:rRNA from 1 species
UACGUAGGGUGCAAGCGUUGUCCGGAAUUAUUGGGCGUAAAGGGCUCGUAGGCGGUCCAACGCGUCGGGAGUGAAAAGCUGGGGCUUAACCCCAGUCCUGCUUCCGAUACGGGUGGACUAGAGGUAGGUAGGGGAGAACGGAAUUCCUGGUGUAGCGGUGAAAUGCGCAGAUAUCGGGAAGAACACCCGUGGCGAAGGCGGCUCUCUGGGACGGUACUGACGCUGAGACGCGAAAGCGUGGGGAGCGAACAGG